UACCUGCUUAUACCCCUGAACCACAUCAACAGUGGACCCAGAAUGUUCUAGGGGUACCACUGUUACCCUUGCUGUCUGUGGGUCUAGGGGUACCUCUGUUACCCUUACUGUCUGUGGGAGGCAGCACGGGCUCACUUGGGGGUAGUGUCACUCUGCUGGAGAAAUGGCAUUUCCACAGGAGGCUUUAUUUGGUGCCGUGGCUACUAAGUGUCGUCCCCAAGGCCAGGGCAGUGAGGAUGCCCAUCACCCCGAGGCACAGAUGUUUCUGAACCUCAGUGGGGCGGGUGUGGCAGUCGUGUUCGAAGAAGCUUCCUGAGUGAUUCUGGGAUAAGGCCACUCUGUCCACUUUGGAUUGGAAGGGCUGCCUUGGGGUGGGGUGGAUUGCAGGUCAGCCCUGCUGGGCCAUCUGCAUUGUGUGUCAGCGUUUUGCUUCCCCCAGCCGUGUUUGUCUUUCAGAUUUUCUUGGAUCAGAAAACCAGUUGGCGAGGCUUCCGGUCCAGACUUGUAAAGAGAUAGAAGCAUCACCUCUGUUACCUUCUGUUCCCCAAAGCAGCCUGCUGGUGCCACCCUUCUUAUUCAUCAGCAGGCGUUCCUCUCCGUCCUCCCUGGAGCCUUCCUUGUCUCUAAGGCUGUCAUUUCCAGCUCCCGCCUUAGGCUGCUGGAGCGCUAGCCACACACAGAAAUGUAGAUAAUGGGAUCGAUUCAGGCGUUAACACAGGGACAGCUCAUCUUCCUCGUAAUUCUUGGGUGGAGGGAGGAGGUAUAUUUGUAUGACAAGGUAAAUAAUCCAUUUCUAAUCUUUACUGAUCCCUCCAGAGAUGAUGAAGGCAAGCCAAUUUAAAGAGUCAAACAACAAA